rnacentral:rRNA from 1 species
UUGGAGGGCAAGUCUGGUGCCAGCAGCCGCGGUAAUUCCAGCUCCAAUAGCGUAUAUUAAAGUUGUUGCAGUUAAAAAGCUCGUAGUUGAAUUUCGGGAUUAGUACGUCGGUCGUGCUUUAGGUACGUACUGGUGUUACUGGUUCCUACCUUCUGACGAACCAUCAUGUCAUUAAUUUGGUGUGGUGGGGAAUCAGGACUGUUACUUUGAAAAAAUUAGAGUGUUUAAAGCAGGCUCGCGCUUGAAUACAUUAGCAUGGAAUAAUGAAAUAGGACGUUGAUCCUAUUUUGUUGGUUUCUAGGAUUGACGUAAUAAUUAAUAGGGAUAGUUGGGGGCAUUAGUAUUCAAUUGUCAGAGGUGAAAUUCUUGGAUUUAUUGAAGACUAACUACUGCGAAAGCAUUUGCCAAGGAUGUUUUCAUUAAUCAAGAACGAAAGUUAGGGGAUCGAAGACGAUCAGAUACCGUCGUAGUCUUAACCAUAAACUAUGCCGACUAGGGAUCGGAUGAUGUUAUUUUUAAUGACUCAUUCGGCACCUUACGGGAAAC